UGCAGUUCUACACCUGCUUUUACAUACCGGGCAAACAUUGCUAGUCUUUAAAUAUGUGGUCAUACAGGGAAGAUGGAACUCGUGCUCGCAAACCGAUCGGAAUACCUCAUCUGUGGUCUGUAUGGCUUUCUGGCACAGCGCGCACACAGGUCUUACACCUUCACCUGCCCCUUGGGCUUCCUUUCCGGGAGAUCUGUCCAAACCCAUGGCAAGAAAAUGCUACUUAUCUCGGUUGUUUCCUAUCAUCUAUGUAGUAUGGGAUUGGUUUGGCAAUACUACUCUGAAAGUCGUGACUAUAAUUCGUCCUAACUUUGUUUUAUUCAACUAAAAUUUCGAUACUAAGUUUUGAUACCAAUAAUGAACUCUAUGACCGACGCUCGCGCACCACAAUCUACAUUCUACUCUUUUUCGAUAUCUCCUUUGAAAGGUUUACGUUUAGUUCGAACGCGACUCGCAUCUACGGAUCGACACUGAUUCCGACACUUCCGACAGCUAACUCUGAGACCACCGUCAGUAAUUCUGGAAUAAAUCUCUUCUCUCCAUCGUGGAUAGAGUAACGCUCGAAAGCAGAAUAUCUAUGUUCCAAUGCGCUGGAGUCGAAGAAAACUUUUACUUAAUAGGAUGGUGUGAACACUAACGCGGUAUUUCCCGCAGGGUCAGGCGGUCGACAUUCGUCAUUCUCGCUCUGCAAUUCCACUGAAGGAUUUAGCCUACGUCGCUUCUAGUUAAUUGAGCCUCUUCUUGCUGACUGUCAUCUGGGGUCAGAAAGGAAUAACUCUGCUCCUUUAUCUGGUUUCCACUUCAGAUGACUAGUCCGCAAGGGAUAGCGAAAGCACUUUAACGGAAAAGGAAACUUUUGUAAACGCGGAAAAGAAAAUUUCUAUCUAAUCAUCCACGGGUCCAACCGAGUAUUUGAAUCUACCCUGUCGGGCCCCACGUUGGGCGCCACUUAUGAAAAUUUCUUUAAUCAUUUAAUAAAAUUAUCUUUUUAGUUAUAAUAUUAUUAUAACUGUAACGUGUAACGCUCGUCUACGCUAGACGGACAGGAGGGGCGAUCUGCAAAGGCGGGGCACGCUUUAAAUGUUCCGGCUCUAGCUCGUCGGCUUUGGGGUGGUGGUUCUUGCGCGUACAGAUCGUCUCCCUUUAGCAACACUAUCACGCGAUAAUUUUAACGAUUUAUUUUCCUAAGAAUUGAGCGUGCUGCGACUAUACGGUGCUAGAACUACCGGUAGAUCGACGAAAAGAUAAAAGAAACGCUCCGUAAAGAAUAGGGGAGAGUGCAGAAGAGAAGGAAGGAGAAGAUGAGGGAGAGAGAGAGAGAGGGAAAGUAGAAAGAGAGUGAAGAGUGAGGGAAAGAGGAGGAGAUAUCGGUUGCUAUCCCACGGAUGUCAGUGUGGUAGCUUAUUUUGCCCGCCCAACCUAUGACCAUCUUCCUCGAAACCGGAAGUUUCAGAUGGCCCCUUUAGCUAGAUCGCGGUUACACGCACGCCGGCACAGAGUUCAUCCUUUUGUAUCUUUAUCUAAAUUCCAUUAUAUAUUUGUUCGAUAAACGAUCAAAACUAAUAUAUUCAGCGAAGGCAUAUUUUUCUAAUUCUAGAGAUCUACAGCGAGUAUAUGUAUAUGAGAGAUUCUGAGGCGUAUAUAAAGUGAUAUGAGGUGGGGUUAAUACUUAAGGUGUAUCUUAAGGUUAGCAGGGUAUUCCUGGCACAAAUUCAUUCAAAUUUUCUUUCAAUUCGGUUGCUUGUAUACAACUGGCAAUAUAGGAUAUAGUGAGGAAAGUGUAAGAUUGCUGCUAUGCAUUAGCGAUUUCAUCGUAAAUUCGUUUCUUAUUUACUUUUCGAGAGCUUAGGAUUGGGCGCGCCCGCUAGAACCAAACGAAAGUCGCAGGAUUUUACUCACGCAAUUACGUUUCUCCAUCGGCGAAAGAUCGAUCUUCCGGCAACUGCUGAAAUAGAACGUUAUCCUUUUUCUUUCGUUUACAUUAGUGCUUUCGAGACCUUUGAUUUCCCUCAGGCGGGGUUAGAUCUAAAUCCAAUCAGUUUCUGUUUUGUUUCGGGUGCUUUUUAGAUUUCUUACAAUUUCCUCUAAAUUCUUUCCAAUAUUUCAUAUAAAUUCUUAAUUAGAACGGGUACAACUAGUAUUUAAAGCUAGAUCUUAGGAACUUCAUUUGUUUGUUCAAAGGAACGAUUCUAGAGUCUUAUUCAUGGGUUCGAGUCUCUGUCGGAUUCGACGGAAUGGCCUAACUGAUAUUUAAGCUAAAUUUUAGGAGCUUCAUUUGUUUGCUCAAAGGAGC